rnacentral:rRNA from 1 species
GGUAUAACGUACCUGGCCCGUAGCCUUUAGGCUUGUGUGUGCCGGCGCACGUUUGCCAUCUUUCUAGAAAACGGGUCUGCCAUUAACUUGGUGGGUUCGGGAUCUAAAUCAUUUACUUUGAAAAAAUUAGAGUGUUUAAAGCAAGCAAUUGCUCUGAAUACAUUAGCAUGGAAUAAUAAUCUAGGACUUCGGUUCUAUUUUGUUGGUUUCUAAAACUGAAGUAAUGAUCGAUAGGGACAGUUGGGGGUGCUAGUAUUGGCCGGCCAGAGGUGAAAUUCUUGGAUUCGGUCAAGACUAACUUAUGCGAAAGCAUUCACCAAGGAUGUCUUCUUUAAUCAAGAACGAAAGUUGGGGGAUCGAAGACGAUCAGAUACCGUCGUAGUCUCAACCAUAAACUAUGCCAACUAGGGAUGGGUGAACGUUGCUUUUUCGACUUCAUCCGCACCUUAUGAGAAAUCAAAGUCUUUGGGUUCCGGGGGGAGUAUGGUCGCAAGGCUGAAACUUAAAGGAAUUGACGGAAGGGCACCACCAUGAGUGGAGCCUGCGGCUUAAUUUGACUUCAACACGGGGA